AGCCAGACUCCUACGGGAGGCAGCAGUGGGGAAUAUUGCACAAUGGGGGAAACCCUGAUGCAGCGACGCCGCGUGAGUGAAGAAGUAUUUCGGUAUGUAAAGCUCUAUCAGCAGGGAAGAAAAUGACGGUACCUGACCAAGAAGCCCCGGCUAACUACGUGCCAGCAGCCGCGGUAAUACGUAGGGGGCAAGCGUUAUCCGGAUUUACUGGGUGUAAAGGGAGCGUAGACGGCUGAGCAAGUCAGAAGUGAAAGCCCGGGGCUCAACCCCGGGACUGCUUUUGAAACUGCGGAGCUGGAGUGCAGGAGAGGUAAGCGGAAUUCCUGGUGUAGCGGUGAAAUGCGUAGAUAUCAGGAGGAACACCAGUGGCGAAGGCGGCUUACUGGACUGUAACUGACGUUGGGGCUCGAAAGCGUGGGGAGCAAACAGGAUUAGAUACCCCCGUAAG
rnacentral:rRNA from 1 species